rnacentral:rRNA from 1 species
AAUGAACGCUGGCGGCAUGCCUAACACAUGCAAGUCGAACGAGACCUUCGGGUCUAGUGGCGCACGGGUGCGUAACGCGUGGGAACCUGCCCUUAGGUUCGGAAUAACUCCCCGACAGGGGUGCUAAUACCGGAUAAUGUCUUCGGACCAAAGAUUUAUCGCCUUUGGAUGGGCCCGCGUUGGAUUAGCUAGUUGUUAGGGUAAAAGCCUACCAAGGCGCCGAUCCAUAGCUGGUCUGAGAGGAUGAUCAGCCACACUGGGACUGAGACACGGCCGAGACUCCUACGGGAGGCAGCAGUGGGGAAUGGUGGACAAUGGGCGAAAGGAUGAUGCAGCAAUGACGCGUGAGUGAUGAAGGCAUGAGGGUUGUAAAGCGCUUUUACCCGGGAUGAUAAUGACAGUACCGGGAGAAUAAGCUCCGGCUAACUCCGUG